rnacentral:rRNA from 1 species
AUUGAACGCUGGCGGCAUGCCUUACACAUGCAAGUCGAACGGCAGCACGGGAGUAAUCCUGGUGGCGAGUGGCGAACGGGUGAGUAAUAUAUCGGAACGUGCCCAAUCGUGGGGGAUAACGCAGCGAAAGCUGUGCUAAUACCGCCUACGAUCUAAGGAUGAAAGCGGGGGAUGGCAAGACCUCGCGCGAGUGGAGCGGCCGAUAUCAGAUUAGCUAGUUGGUGAGGUAAAGGCUCACCAAGGCGACGAUCUGUAGCUGGUCUGAGAGGACGACCAGCCACACUGGAACUGAGACACGGUCCAGACUCCUACGGGAGGCAGCAGUGGGGAAUUUUGGACAAUGGGCGCAAGCCUGAUCCAGCAAUGCCGCGUGCAGGAUGAAGGCCUUCGGGUUGUAAACUGCUUUUGUACGGAGCGAAAAGGUUCUCUCUAAUAAAGAGGGCUCAUGACGGUACCGUAAGAAUAAGCACCGGCUAACUACGUGCCAGCCGCCGCAGUAACAC